CGAUGCACCAUGAGGCAUAAGCAUUUCACGAAGCUGUGCAGUCCAGAUCGGACUGUCAUCUGACCAAUCUCCUUUCCAACUAUAGUGACCCCAUGGAUUACGUAAUCUCAGCAGUCUUAUGCCCUGAAACCGGUAAUGCCGAAGGCUGUAGUGGGACACUUUCGCAAGGUGCACCUGUCAAAGUAGCCAAACCUUCGAUGGCUCGACCGGAAACUAAUGCUUCGUAACAUCCGUGAAUCUUAGCUACUGCCUUCUCAAUUAAAGGGAAGCAGAUCGUCGACAAGUACAGUUGUCCAUUUACCGUCCUUGCACAAUCUGACUUGGUAUGCCCCUUCUGGACAAGUUUCUUUCAUAACUAGAACUCUUCUGACCAGUUCGUCACUCUCUGCUAAAACGGCCAAUGCAGAUAAAAGCCAACAGUUUCCCAGAACACCUUGAGAAAUAUCAGAAGUUUCUGCAGGAUUGUAGUACAGCGAUUUUGGAGCAGGCGGAAAAGAGUCAUCAACAAAUGGUUCGUUGGUCUGUAAUCAGGAAAUAACAGGUUCUCCUAGCCUGAGUCGGUCUCCUGGGAUUUGAGAAAGAGUCUUGGAACUUUGGCACAUUUCGCAACUUCCAUUCGUACUUUUGUUCUCUAACAGGAAAUCUUGAGCAUCCAGUUCCAGGGAUAUGUCUCAUGCAAGAGCCAUUUCGACGUACAGAGUUUCUAUGUCUGGGCGUGACAGCUCUUGAAUUUACUGCAGGAGGACAUGUCAACCUAGGACUGGGGCUUCUUUGUCCCAAAACUCUGUUGUCUCUUGGUACUUCGAGGAAGUCAACGAACGUUUUACAAGCAUUACAGCUCUGUGCAGUCAAUGGAUUUCGCAAAGUACAUGAUGGGCAGACCCAGCUUUCUCCUUUUCUUAGAGUUGGAUCAUCAAGGCAGGUGAAGGCAGUUCAAUCAGAUCAUCGAGAUCAGAUUCAGCUGUAGCUAAAGUAGCGGAUUUUGGUGGGGUGUAUCUCACGCUAUCCCGUGAAACGAUAAUGGGAGAGGAGGCUUGGGAUCUGCAACUGGAUCCGUCAUUGGUCACAGUAAUUAAACUCGGUUGUGCCAAUGAUGGAGGAGAUCUUGAUGAAGAACAGAUAUCGCAGCCAGCGGACCAAAGAGGAUUAAUUGAAGCCAAUCGAAUGCGGAGGUACAGCCGGAGGUUCUUCAUCAUUUAGACUACGUCGAUUUGCUGCUUUGCGUUGAAGUAUAUUGGUCACCGAAUCAACCUCUGAAAAUGAUCUCCUAUACGUUGGAGGACCUGCUGAUGAGAGGGCUCUAGGUUCCCACGCUGGCACACUGAUAACAACGCCACUACAAGGGGCAGGGCUUCUAGGUGCUUCACAGGCCUCACACUGUUCCAAUCCAGCCUCUGAUAACUUUUGAACAACUGAACCGUUUGACAAGGAACGGCUUACUUUGGACUUCACACGUUCAUACACUGAAGGACUAUGGCGUUUUGGUGAACGUUGUGAAGUAUCAACGCUAUCGGAAUAGGCAAUAGGUGGUGGAUCCAUGGUCUCCACAGGUGGUAAAGUCCAGCUCUCACGGUUAGACCUUGUUCGCUCGUUACGCCCGAGGCUGCUCAGCUGUGCCAUUUCUAAGAGGCAAUGCAGUUGGGCAAAGCGCUUUGGUUAUUCAGUUGUAAGCAUCUGAUACAAGUCCAACAAAUUGAGAGAGAUGGUAGCGAUAAACCAUGUUUCAAUUGCUCUGGACUAUUUGAGUUUCCAGACCAAGAGUUGCGCCGACAUAUUUUGCUUGACCUUGCUGACCCGGGAGUUGUCCUGUUGAAGGUUUGUGUUAGAAUAAACAAUUACAAACAAUAUAAAGUUUGCAAUAUUAAGCAAAUACAUGAGUCUAUAUUGAAUAGUGAUCAUAAAAGAGUUAUCAGCUCAUAUUUUCAAUAUGCCUUAUUUAAUCACCGUUCAUUAAAAUCAGUAAUACAUAAUGAAUUUCUGGACAUUGAACAUAAACAUCAAUCAGCUGUGUACCCACACUGUAUAUACCUAAUAUACGGAUCGAUGGUAAUAACGCAUUUAAAAUCUAUAAUUCGUCCAGUUUCAGUUAUCACAAUUUGAAAAAACACCCCUAUCAUAAAUGCGCGCCGUGUAACAUAUAAUUCGUUUAUCGCCCUUCGUUUGUUUUCAUACAGGUACGCGAUCGUUGUUUGAUUACACUUUCCUUAGGCAGUGGGCAAUGAGGCGUGAGAAGUGGAUGGCGUGUAGAUAUUUGUGGAAGAUUGCAAAAGAAGAGCAUGCAAAGAUGAAUUGUGAAUAUCUAUCUGCUCACCUGUAAGCGGAGGGUGUCGCAUUGCAGAGCCUCCGAAUUUAACGAUUUGGAAGGAAUCACCACAACUGUGAAGGUGCAAGAUCAUGAAAUGGAAGCCACGCGAUUCAGUGUCCGAAAUUCGCCCCAGAGGUAUGGUGUUACGUCUCCUUCUAAGGACUCUACUUUCUACGUGUAGCAUAUACUACAUCGCAACUGCUUCUUUGCAGAGAUGACGAUCAGAGUCAAAACUUCGGAAGCUAGACGACGGAGUGGAUUGCUCUGUAUACAGUUGUUAACCAGUGCCACCUGCACCAGGAUGCAGCUCGACAUUAGGAAUGAGAAGGAUCGCGGUAAUUACGUUCGUGUACAGCCGAUUCAAGAAAUCCGUUUCAUUCGUCACAACUAAAAGCUCGUCACUCGCUGCAGCUUUCGUAUUCACUCUGCUUUGACGCACAUCGCAAUUCAUUCGAGAUGCGCAUUACAUGACUGCACAAAAUAUAUUCGCUUUGGGAUAGAGUGCAGAAUGUGAGUCACCUUGUGAGGUAGACUUAGGCAAGAUCUACCCUCCGAAGAAGAUACAUUGAAGAAAAAUGGAUUAUUCUAGAGAAUAUACUACAGGCAUCGCGGUAAGAGAUUUUUCGAAUUAUUGAUAGGAAAGAAUAAGUGAAAAUGUAGUUGAUAAAUAUAUUAGUUCAAAAUGAUAUUCGAGACAGUAAAACGUCUACCGGGUGAGUUGCUCGUUCGUUUUGCUAUAAUUUGAAUCGAUAAAUACCAACGAGCUGCAAAAGCUCAAAUUAUUUGAACGAUCGACGUAUAUGUUUGUCAAUGUUAUAUCCACAGCGGAAUUGAUAUCAUCCAAUUAGUGAUGCAAAUCGUAGAUGUUAACAUGACGCAGAUCGUAACGAGUGGUAUCUGGAUGAGAACCAGUAUGAGAUGGUUUAAAUACGCAUCUUUAACGCGUUCUAUUGCUUUUCGCAAUUUAUUCAGACGCCAGAACACUGCGAAAAAUAUCGGUUAAUCAACAACCUCGUAUAAGUCUAUGCCUUUUUCAAAUUCUACUCGUUAUACACGAGAAUUUUCAUAGUAAAAACCGAUCAGAAGUUAGUGGGCGGAUCUCAUGAUUAUAGACUGGUUAAUUGUAAGCUACCUACAAGAAGUUGAAAUUUUUUUUCAAUUCGUUAAAACAUUACCUGAACAAGGAGGAAGAAAUUAAUGAAAAAAGAUCACCGUUUGGCCGUGCAUGUUUUAUAUGUUUACCAAAUCGAAUACAAUUUAUCGCUAACAGAUUUGCUCAAGUUAUAAUCAUAGGAAGCGGAAUUGGAUAUUACAGGCACGUGGCGUUGGACGUGAUGGCAAAAAUAUUUACAAUACCAAUUGGUGAGUUAGUGUGAUAAACAAACAAAAAUUAAAAGUAAUCAUACAGGCGCCAAAUUUCUAUGAUCUUGGGAUCAUUCACUCUUCUCAUUUUCCAGCUAUAAAAAUCUUGAUGUGAAUAAUAUAGAAAGCAAAAAUAUUAUCCCAAAACUCGAUUAAUUGUGAACGCGCUUUUCAUGCAAUAACGUUUUAAGAUAAUUGGAAAAAUUUAGCGCGACAAUUCACUUAUUACGUUUACAAAAUUGAAGUAAAAAUCAGAGAUCUAACGAAUAAAAAUGAUGUCCCAGCAUCAAUUCAUUUUUAUUAUAAUAAAACAUAAUAAAUGUAUCAUAAAAUAUUGAGGUUUUAAAUUUUAAUUAGACAUAAUUCUUCAAGUCCUCGGUAGUAUAGUGGUAAGUAUCCCCGCCUGUCACGCGGGAGACCGGGGUUCGAUUCCCCGCCGGGGAGGAUUUUUUUUCUUCUCUCAACAUUUAACUUUUAGAGUACCAGAAAACCACUUAUUUGGUAGUAUGGAUUAAAUACAUAGCUUAAUCUAUGUUUCUUAUUUUAUUCCGCUAUUUAUAUUGAUAUUAACACUUACCUUUUGACAUAAAUUUGAUACUUCAAAUCCUGGUAUGUACUCUAAAGAUUAACAAAAAAGCGAAGUAAGAUGAAUUACAAUAUUGAAAGAUGUGAUAAUCAAAUAUCACUAAUUUUGUGCGAUAAUAAAAUGAAGUACAAAUAUUCCCUAAUUAGAGUGGAAAGAAAUUAAUCAUACUCGUGCAUUUUGAAACUUGAUUCGAGUAAAAAUCAAAAAUAAAAUCAACUCGUUUCGUAAUGCUAUAGAGAAAUUGAUGUGAAGAGGCUUUCUCUCAUGAAGAAAUAAUAUUUUUAUUUCGGCGACAAUGGAUUCUAAUUUUAUUCCUCAUGUUGGAAGCAUGCGGCAUUUAUAUGGUCUUCGUAAACGUAAUUGGAUUUCUAAAGAUGCUAAACUUGAAAAAACCCCACUAAUUAGAUCAUGAAAAAUAUCUGAUUAAGUAGAUUUUCAUUUCUCAUUCUUCAAAGUCGACAUCGUAUUUGGUAUCGACUAUUUGAAACGGUGGUGGAUAGCGCUUUGGCUAGCACGUGAGAUUCACAUGGUGGCUCACGCGAGUUCAAAUCCCUCGCUCGAAGAGACGACGAACCUUCUCAAAUCCGAUUCAUUUUCGCGGAAAAUAAGAUCAAAAUACACGUGAUUUUAUAGCACCUAGUCCUUGUGUUACCUGUGUGCUGACUUAUUACACAUCGGGUGUCAAACAGGACUUACAUUACUUCCAAACUUAAGCUAAUGCCUUGCCUAUCCCAUGACAAGAUCAUUGGAUAGUUUGGUUACAAUUUUACAUUUUUUCAUCUCUUGUUCUAAAAUCAAUGUUGAAAGUUUUCAAUCAUUCGAUAGCACGAAUCGAAUGCGACAAUUUAGAUUGUGAGUAAUUCAAUUGCCACAACAUAUCUAUAUUUGAUUAGUAACUUUUUGAAAAAUGAUACGUCAAUAAGAUGAAAAACAAGCGUAUGUUAUAAAAUACUUGAAUAGAUAAAAUAUUCCAACGGUUCUCUAGGUGUUUCAGAAACCGUGAAUAUUUGAAUACAGACGGAUACCUUCGAAACUUAAAAAUAAUACAUAAGAGUUAUUUUCAAAUACGUCGCAGUUAUUUCUUUUACAUCGCGAUAAAAUAGAUCCACUAGACCCCGCAGUCAGUUAAUGUCAUUGACGAGAUAAAGAGAAAACUGAAACUAAUCUCACAGUUAUUAAAUUUUUUUUCUUCCAUCUUCGUAAUAAUUAGAUGAACCAGAAAUUACACAACUGAAAAAAUAAGAAUUGUACGAAUUGGCGAAAGGUUUAAUCAUUUCAAAUGUUGACAACGACGUCAUUGAUCGUGUACUGCAGAUAAACAUAAUGAUUAGAACUUCUCAAUGGUCAACCUAAAAUGCAUCGAUAAUCGUGCUAAUUGCUUUUUGUGAGCGAUUUGUGUACAUUAUGAACGCACGAUUUGCGUCAAUUUGCAUCGAAGUGGAGAGAGAAUUGAACUUCAAACGAAAAUUGUUUCCUAUUCACAAAAUAAAAUAAUACCAAUUCUAUUUAACAAAAAAAAUGACAGAUCAUACUCCUUACUUCUUCUACUUGAGCCGAAUUUUUUGUUUCUUCCACACUUCAGAAACCAAUUAAAUUUACUGGAAAUAAAAUGGAGAAGAGAAAAAAAUUGAUACGAAGUAUUUAACGCGCCUGAAACGUAGUUCGAUUGCAGAUUUCGCGGUACGAGCAUAUAAAUGAAUUGAUUGAAAUGACUAAUAGGGAAGUAUAGACGCUAAAUAAUUAACGUUCGUUCUUAACAAACAAAGAGCAUAAUAAUUAUAACGAAGUGACAAAUAGAGUAUUGACCGCUGCCUUUAACGGAUAUCAAACGGUUAACUUUUGCUCGUGACAUUCGUGCUAAUUAGAAAAGCAACGAGCACAAAAAGCGCGUGACUACAGGUGUCUAAGCAAGUAGAAGAACAAAAUUGAAAAGAACAAACUUAUGAUCACCAACUUUUCUGUGCGCUAGUACGAUAUCGAUGCGGUUGUUAGUAAUUUUUUAAAAAUAUUUUACAUGAAAUGGUGUUAAUCUUUCGUUAUAAUACGGACUAUUUCAGAUCUAGCGACCGUCAAAAGUUCAGGACCUUAAUUUUCAACCAAAUUACCGAUGGUUCGAGAUAAGCGCAGCUGUAUUGCAACGAAAAUUGAGGUCACGUACGAUUUGGUGGACGAAAAGAAAUACAUUUUUCAGAAUCUAGAUUUGAAGAAGCAGAUUUUCAAUGGGAAUUGGUCAACUGCCAGCUUUUUGAAGCACUUAUCACGAUUCUGAGGUCGUGUUCCAAGAAUUCGAAAUAAAUACUCCAAAAUGGCGGUGGAAAAUCAAAAAACUCUCGAGUUAUUUUAAAAUUGAUGAAAAUGUUUUGUGUUUUGCGUUUUUUAUUGAAAUCUAGUAAUACUACGAACUGGAUAUAAAAAUGAAAAAGUAACAUAGCCGCGUUAUGAAUUUCGUUUCGGCUUUACAAUUGUCGGUUGCAUUGCUAUUAGAUUACUUUACAUAUUUCAUAAGUUGGUCGCCUAGACACGAACGAACAUUUGCUCUAGUCACGAGAGCUGGUAAUAAUGAAAUACAUAUGUAUUCAUAUACCAUAUACACAUAAUGUCAGAGGCGGUAGAAUUGCCUGGUAUAAGCUGUACGGUACGCUGUAGUACAGGCUUGUGUUCGCUCCGUACUUUCACUUAACCGCCGGAUGACCCGAUGACGUCAUUUCAAAUACGUACUUUCGUAUCGAACAGGUCCAUACCUUGGAGCUCCAACGGUGUGAUUUCAGCUUCUAAGGUUUUACCGUACCCCACAUACAACUUAUCCUUCGUCGACGCUGCUCGCGUCUUACGCACGUAUACGCGGACGUGAGACGGAAAACUUGAUGCGGGAGGGAGCGAGCGGUGCCUGUUUGCUUUUUGAAAAAAAUCGCAUCAAGCUUGCGGAACAUGAUAGGUACAGAUAUGCAAUUUGUAUUACAAUCUACAUCCGUGUGUUCUGUCCUAUAUAGUAUAACAGCCAUGGUCGUCGCGUGAUUUGCGACACGUUUCGUAAGCAGACGUUUUUCUUUCCAUCAUCCUGAGAGUGACACCGCAGAGAUGUUAGUCCAGCGAUCGUAAGUUGCGAGUAUCGAAAUAUUCCGUCGUCCGUUGGUUCGCGGCGAUUCGUAUUCCCAAGGAAAUAAAUCGACGGUAAAAAGAGAAGACUGGCCGGUUAUUGCGAACUGAUAAAAAAAUCAUGAAUUAUACAGUGACUGAUUGUGAGGGGUGUUUUCCCCGGCGCGAAGAUAGGACUAUUUUCGUUACGUUGUAUGGAAACAAAAACAGUAGAGAGGAAGAAAAAAAUCAUCCGGCCGAAACCUUUUCAUGAUCCAAUGACGCGUUCUCCGCUGUGAGCUUCUGAUAAGUUUUUUUUAUUUCCUAAGCAACAAUCUUCACGCAGUGACGUCCGCAUGCGAUGUAACCCCGUUGAAUGAGUUGACUCAUCCUGACCGUGGUAUAUCCCGGAGCCAAGCAAAGCAAAUCGAUGCGAUCGAUCUAACUCGUACAUUCAACAAACCAAUGAGACCAACGACUGAGGUAGUUCCGGUACGUCCGCCAACGGCUGUGGAUGUUGCGAUUGCGGUAACUCCGGAUAAUUAGGAGAGCGAAGCUUUCGUUGUCCUCGGGGGAACACGAAGGAGAGCGGCCGGUAUCCCUCCACGAUCACAACAUGCCAAAAUUUUGUGAUCAUCUUCCCCAAGGUUUACAUUAAUUCUUCUCUUAAAUUUUCCACAGACCGCGCAGUGUCCACGUUGUGACCUGAGUACGAUAUUUCACCGCGAUAAUAUACGCGGAGUUCGUGAAAAUGCGAUUCGUGGAACGCGCGUCGUUUUCACGAAUUACCUGCAAUGUAGAUUCGGUAGGUAGACACGCAUAUUGGCAUCCGUUGGCCAACUUUCACUUUUAAUCCUAAUAAUAGAAAUGAAAGCUACGUAAGCAAUUCUUAAGAAAUUUUCGAUUUUCAUCCCGGCCCUAAACCUCCUUGGCAAAAUAAUAUAAGUGGACGUAGGUCGCUGCGAAAAUCCGCAAGCUUUAGCCAUGAUAUGUUCAGUUGAUACAUUCGCAUUUCACCGGACUAAUGAUUUGAAAACAAACUAGAAAAGAAUCGAAACUGUGAGAAAUUAGUUGGCACAUCUCGAACAUGAUCCAGAUACUAGUUAGACUGUAUCAGUGGCACGAGUAUCUACCUAUGUCUUCAUCGAUCACGCGUGUGUUACGAGGGUAAAGGAAUUCGAAGAACAAUGUGUUGGCUGGGUUGGCAGAUUGCCGAUCCUUGUGGACGUGCUCAUAGAUAUACGUUAUAUUUUCGUAGUAAAAAACAAACGUUUGACAUUAUAUAGUAUAUAAGAAUUUUAAAGCGCGACAGGUUUUAAAUCUUAUUCUUGCCGAUGCAUAAUUCAUUAUAGAAGAUUUGGGUAAUUUACGACAGAAUAAGAAAUAUCCUAGACAAACAUGUUUGUCUUUACCUUAUCAUUUAUUUCAACAAAUUUGUUUUUCUUCGCUGCCUUUUACGUCGUUUUUAAUCUCCGUUAGAUUACAGGUAAAUUUUGACCGUCUUGGAAGAGAAAAAUCUUUCAUUCAUUUAUUCCUUCGCUAUGUAUUUUAUUCCUUCGCUUGAAUCUUGAAGCAACUAAUUUUUUUUAGAAAAUCGGGGUAUCGUAUGUUUUUCAAUUUUAUGCAUCUGGAUUGAUAUUCCACUUCUGUCGGUGGAAAUUAAUGCUAUUCCGCUAUGGAAUACUUCCGUUAUUUGUCUUGGCUCGCUCAAUCCGUACAAAUAUUCACGGUCAUUAUUCAAGCGCAAUUUUAAUUUCGUGGGAUCAUUGAUCACCCCUAAUCAAAAUACGAGAAUGUAAAUUCAUUUCGAACGUACCGCAGAAGUGAUAUUUAAAUUUUGCAGAUCCAGCAAAUCACGAUUGUUAAAUUUAGAGAGCAAAUGUGAUACGAGAAAAAAAGUCAUACGAAACUGCAACACCUUAGUUUCUGCAAGACAUGAAAAUUUCCAAAUUUUAUCGUUUGCUUUCGGAUCGUUGCGAAAACGUCGAGACGAUCGUUGGUUCGACCAUUCGCGUCGGAAAUUCGCAUAACUUAUGAAUCUAUUUACAUUUUCGUGCUCAACUCGUACGUUAUGCAUAGUGAAAACGUAAUGAUAAAAAUAAAGUAGGCGCCAAGUGCUGCUCUCGAGGCUGAAGGAACACUUGAAUAAAGAAAAGAAAAAGAACCAAUAUCCUCUUGAAGUUUCGGUACAUGAGUAUUCACAAAUUGGUGUAAGGAGGUUGUUCGAGCAAUAUCUGAAUAGUAAUGUGAUAUAUUUAAUGGACAGCCGGAGAGCUACGUUGCCAAACCUUUAGCCAUUGAGCAGAUAUCAUAUGAAAAGAAUCUCUUGGUUUGCUUUUUAAAUUUGUUGUCUUUCGAGCGUUAACGCGUCACGGAACAAUUGGAAACAUACAAAAUGGAAAACGUAGCGAAAUAUGUCUUGCCUCGGUCAUGUCGAGGCUGCAGAGCUUGCGCAUUUUUUACUAUAAAUUUACACAAGUCUCGUCAGUCGAAAGAGUACGUUUAAACAAUGAUCCGGAGUAACAACUUCCUCUUCAGUUAAUGUGGAUCAUAAACGUCGAAUUGGUCCGGAGAUCGUACCGAAUGACGCGUGAAGUUGGGAAUAAACGUUUUUCGCGCGUCAUCGGGCAUUCGUACGCAUAGAAACGAACCGUGGAAAUACUUCGAAUAACGGCCUACUUUAAUAACGACUACACUUGUAUUACUGCACAAUUAUAACAUCGUUACUGCGAAUCUCAGAGUUGAGUGGAUCGCGGGGGAUUCCACAUCCUUCGAUUUCUCGGCGCCUACACAUUUACCCGAUGAUCGCCACGCUUUCCAAGAACUAUGCAUGCGCGCUCUGAAGAUAAAUUAAUUAUUCGCCCCUUAAAUCAUUUAUAUAUACAACAAUGUUGCUUGCCCACGAAUUACCAUAAUUACCUGUAACGAACAGAACGACGCACCUGUAAUUCUUCUAUUUUCUUUUCUCUCGCGUAUCGUACCUUAUACUCACCUCUUAUUUUACGUAACAUCACGCGUCCAGAACGAAGGUCGCGAAACAUGUCACGAGAUAGUUUCCAGAUUACCGUAAAAUCCUUCACGUCUAUACUUUUUUUUUUUUUUUUCUAAUAUUUCAGCUCUUGCAAUUACUUUCUCUCAGCUGCAAUAAUCGUGACAAUUUUCUUUCUUACAACGCAUCUGUAAAUCGUUUGUACAAUUUCCGGUGAUGCAAGAUUAUGAAAUCUCUAUUCCCUGCGGUGCGAUGAAGUUUAUCUCCUGAGUCACAAGGAUGAGGGAAAUGCGACCGGUAAAUAUGCCGCAAAUCUGCUGCACCCGCUGUUAGAAUCUUUUUCCUCUACGGGGUUUCUUAUGCGUUUUUUUUUUAAACCGAAACUCUAACAAUGCCUGGGUGAACGAUGAUUCAAAUUCGUAUUUCGCCUCUCUUAUCGUGUAGAUAAAAACUUGCGUGUAAUUCAUGGAAUAUUUUUAAUAGCUCUUACGGUAUAUCGUUCGAAGAAAGAGUGGCGAUAUUUACUGCGAACCAUAUCAGCAGCGUGUGCGAAUCGGUGUUCUUGGUGAGAGAAAAUGCCACGCGUCCGCUAAUUUUUAACGUUCUCAUCGAUUUCUAUUCGGGAAUAUUCGAAUGUGGGAAACGAGCUCCAUAACGAUGCGUUUAAUGCUAAUCACAUCUAUCCGCGAGUCAAUCCACGCUAACUGGUCGCAUCAUCGAUGACUCAAGAAAUGAGAUACACCGGCCGUUCGUGUUGUACCCGCAUAAUGCCGGAGAUCACCGCCGAUUCGUGUGCUUGAGAAAACUCACUCAUCAUUUCGUCGAUCGAAAUUUUAAGUUUCGGCAAAAUCUCCAAGAUUCGGUUGACCAUCGCUAGUUAAACGACCUCGUUGCCACGGUGUGCGAUGCGUACAUUUAUAAUUCCGCAUCUCUCGUGCACCGACCAUUAUAAUUCGUCGCUGAUUCGGCACGAUACCAUGUUUCCCAAUUCGAAGACGUCACCGGAAAUUUUUUUUUUCACGCGUUCUAUUUAAAUCGAUCGCGUGUCUCCCUUCCAAAAAUAACUUCCGAAAUUUCUUAUGCAAGCUGUUAUAGGAGCAGGUGGCUCGCGGAAUGGUUGCACCGUUGCGAUCUUGAUUCCGCGGGUGGAAUAUUUUUUUUUUUCUCAUUUAAUUCAGCGUGCCAUCGUCCGAUCGUGAGUCGACAUUUACCGUUCGAUGUACAGGCGGCUGAUAUCAAAUAGACGAGAGUUCGUUUCGCCUCGAUAGCGCUUAUCUCAAGCUUUAACUAAAUUGAAUAACGCUUUGACAAGAAUUAACUUAAUUCGAAUCCCUGUGCGAUAAAAAUGAGGAACACGUUCCCGGUACUUUUGAGCAAACAAGUUUAUUUCUCCGUAUACUAUUAAUACGGCAAAUUAGUGACUUCGGUAUCUCUAAACUCGGCAUAACUCCGGAAUUCUUUUUCAUUUAUUUAUUUAUUUAUUUAUUUAUUUAUUUUCUUUAUUGUGGCGAGGUAUCGACGGGCAUAACCCACGUGAGAUGGGUCUUCGGUCGUCGCACUUCGGUUCUUCGAUAUCCUUUAUGCAAUUGUUAUUUUAGCUACCGCCGAGUCACUAUCGAAGUCAUUGGCGACGAUGAUAUGGGCGUGCGUUUGCGAAUGAAUGUAUGAAAUUGUUUUUAACAGUUUUACAAAAUGGCUACUGAGAAGUCCACGUCACUUUCGUUGUGUGUACGAUUGUUUUUCCGUGUACGAUAAUUUUUUGGGUAUAAUGACGUUCCGCAAAAAGGCCAAACAAUUGCGAGUAGAAAAAGUGAAAUUGAAUUUAAAAACUGAUGCGAGUACAAACUAGUUUCUUUGUCUUUCUCUUAUCUAAAUUAUCUCGAGAAACUCAAACAGGAGUUUGGUUGACUGAACAUUUGAAGUAAAAGAUGGAGAAAAAAGAAGUAAGAACAACCGGAUGGCCGAGACCAACGCUAUUUCACAUCGAAACGAACGGCCCGUAAAUUUGACAGCAAAGCGUAACAAGAAACUGCGUUCCUCGAGCGUAAAAUAAAAAUAGGGAUCGCGUUGCUGUCGUAACCGAAGAAAACCUGAUGCUCUCGAAAAGGAAGAGAGAGCAAAAAAGAGAGAAAGAAAGAGCUGCAGAAAUACCCACAUCUCCUCAAUUCUCACCUUAAUUCCGUUCGUUCGCAUUCCAUCUAAUUCGACAAAGCGAUCCACGUAUCAUGCUAUCCACAAAAGUAAGUCUGACAAAGGGUGACGUGGUUCGAUUUUAAUUGUCGCGUAAUUAUCAUCCUUUUUUUUAGUGCGUCAUUUUGUUUAGUCGUCGUGUUUGCCGACUGGUGCGAUUCGAUGACUAAACCAAACAAUUACGAGUAUUGUGCAACGCGGUAAUGGAGAAUCGGCUGACGGAAGAAUCUAUAUUGGCUGAAAUAGGUCGUCCGUUGACUUCCCACUAAUCAUUGAAUACAGAGGAUCGAAAGGAGAUAGAGCAUACGUAUACCAACCGCCAUUUCCGGUUGCUUAUUAUUGGUCCAGUAGGUCAACGUGAUUACCAUACAAUAAAUAGGUUGGAUUUAGUUCAGCUGAUAUCCGGACGGACGACUACUUUUACUAGACCGUCAAAUACAACGGAUUUAUAAAAUCAACCGAUCAUUUAUAGAAACGAAUGAAGAAUAUCCACCGAUUCCAAAUGGGACGAAAAGACAUCGGACCGUCGACUAGGUCAGAAAGGAAGAAUUCGAUUCGCUUGUAGUUUGCGUGAUUCGGAAUACCAGUUUAUUUUCCAUUCAAACCAGACGCGCUAACACUGGAGCACGCCUAUACCUAUAGCAUCCGAGAAUUGCUACUGGGCUUCUAAUACCGAAGGACACACGAUUCUUGGCAUUUCUAAGCGAAUCCACCGGCCAACUUUAUCGCGCUACAUUUAGACGAUAUAACGAUAUAUUGAAUCAUCGGCUUCAGAAAGUCCGCGAAUAUAUCCAUCACGCACCGUUGGGUAUGGCUUCGGAAUAAAAUUGAGAGUUAAUUGAAUUAUGACAACAGGCUUAAUGGGGACAUUAUGGAUUCUCCAUUACGGUUAAACGUGCGAUCAAUCAUUAUCAAGAAAUGCAAAAAUUGCAGCUUAGAGAGGGAAGGAACUUCCAAUAAUCUAAGAAGGCUAUAGAGAGUUCGGAGCGGAGUAAUAACAUCUCUGAAAUGUUUGCUUCAACGAUCAACGUCAUAGCCUGUUAUUACGGCCUCACGAAGCUGGAGGGUGUUGCUUACGUGGGCGAUGGGUGUUGGCUGAAAGGGUGCUGUGACGUCAUUCCACCUUUCAAUAACCCCAGCGGUUAGACGUCUGAAAGGUUUUACCUUCGAUCUACAUUUUGCUAGGGAGAAAAAUGGGCAGCCUUCAGAACUUGGCUCCAUAUUCGGAACACCAGACUUUUCUCGCUCCAUUCAAAAAACGAAUAAUCACAGAAGUGUCUAGCACACGUUUGCUAUUUACAAGACCAAUAGAAAUAAUAUUCAAAUGUCAUUUUAAUCAAAGUAUUGCCAAUAAUAUUGUGACGGAUCAAUUGUAAGAAUAUACUGAUUU